AUUUGGAGGGCGCAGUCAUGGCGGUUAUGGCGGAGUGCAAUGUGCAAGAAGAGCAGAUUUUCUGAUGGCUAUAAAUAAUUUUUGUAGCGUAAUUCAUAGAUGGAGAAGGAAACUUACACUAAAAAAAAAAAAAACGAAAUGCUGGGUUGAUGAUGCAAAAUUUUCAUGUUUCCAUGUUUGUUAAACAGCAUUAGCAGAAUAUAAAUAUUUGGCUUGUCACGUCAGACAAUCCCAAACUCAGGGAAGAAGUCUAGAACAAGUGGCUAAAGCGGACACACUCUACCAAUGUGUUCAACAAGAUCAGAAGUGCCAACUGCCAAGGUUCUAAGGACUUAAAAACGGUUUCUCAUUUCACAGUCAUGGUGAUCCCAAAGAAGAUGACCAUUGAAGUUUUAGUUCUCUAUCCAGAGACAAAAUGAUAGUUGGCUCAAAACAAUGGAAUCUACAUGGCUCAUUUUAUCGUCACUCUGGGUGGUGGACAUGUUACAAAAUUUUUCCUUAAGAAUGCAGUCAACUAUUAUCAAAUCAAUUACUAGAUGACCUUUUUACUCCUAUCAUUUGGUGGAUAGUGGCAGUAUAGUUUGAUACAGGGAUCCAUUUCAUGGAGGAUAAAGCAUUUGACAGUAGCUAUCCAAAAUAAGCAACUUGUGUGUAUUACGUUUCGGAUGGUUUCAAUUCGGACUAGCCCGGUGCAUCAGUGGGCCUUCUCCGACAAACCCAGAUUAGUUUCAUUAUUAAUCAUAUUUCGAAUUUUUAGAAAAUGGCUAAUUGGUGUUUGUUUUUGUUUUUUUGUUUUUUUUUAAACAUAUGUUGGUGGUGGACCGGAAAUCCCAGAAUCGGAUGAGAUAUCUCGCGGUGACAGUAGAACAGGAUGCAUAUUCGGAAGUCAGCACAUCAAGACUCGGAAACGUUUGUCGGUUCUUCGAUGCCGACGUCGGCUGCCUUGACUGAGUUGCUACCUGGACGCUUCCCGACUCUUCACUCGCUUCGACGACGACAAAGAUCCUAUCGUGCUGGAUCGUGGAUCGAAUCAUUCGUUCGGCUGAAUAUCUCGAUUCUCUCGAAUGACCUGGCGCAACAACUCACAGAUCUCGUCCGGGAUCAACUCGCUUAUUCAAUCCCGCCAUUUUUGGGAUCCAGCGAAGAAAACUUUUACUUCUCAGCUGAAUUUUUCAGUGUCGUACCAAAUGAGGUCGUUGUCCACUUUUCAACAACGGAUGCCACUGCUUCUAGUCAAUCUGCUGGACCGUAUUCCGGCUUAAAAAAUUCAUUUCAGAUUUUGUGAUUGUUUGAAAUUGCCGUGAACUAGUUUGUUUGUUUUUUGUUUGUUUUCUGCAAUUCGUCUUGUUGUAGAGCGCCUAGACUAGCAUAUCUGAGUAAGUGUAACAGCUUGCGUAUUGACCCAGUCUAAGGUACUGGAGAAAGUCUGAUUGGUGGCGCUCGUGUGCCCAUGGCCACUUUUAGUGAUGGUAAGUCAGAGAACCCUGCCGUUGUUUUUGUCAUAAAAGUGGUGAUUUAUGAUUCCGGCCCCUCUAGUUACAUUUCGUCGUCAGGAACAAAAAGGUUUUCCAUUCAGGGUUCACCUGUUCACCAUCUCUCAUACCGGUCUGUUACAGCAGUAGUCAACGGCGUACAGCGAAUUUUUUAUAUCAAGUUUUUUUGUUUUUUUUUUUCAUUUAAAUGCUACAGUGCAUUAAUGUUAGUAGUUUUGUGAGUAAUAGUUGAUUGGGGAAGUAUUGGGUUAGUACAUGCAUGGUUUUAUAUAUUAUAAGAACAGACAUGGGAAACAUUGGGAGGUUAUAAAGGGGGGACAUGUGGAAGGAGUAGGAAAUGAACCUGGGGCCUUUCUUAUCAACACUAGGGGCCGCAACCAUGACACAGUGGUCCAACAUCCAAUUUGCAAAAUCUCGGGAAUUUUAUCAGAUCCUUUAAAGGGCUGGCUGAGAAUGCUGUGGAAUGUUUCAAUUCAGGCAAUACAGGAGGUAGCUAUUGGUUAUAGUUCAAAAUUGUCACGAGUUACGUGUUUGAAUCUUGUAGGAAAAUGGAGGACUAAGAGGGUAGGAAGCAAAAGUGCAAAGGAAUCUGGAAUCGUCCAGAAAAAUGCAAUGUAUAAGAAAAGAAACGUGUUAAGUUAAAAUUUUAUUUUUCAACGGGAUAUUUACAUCCAUUAGCAUGAUUCCAUUUAUAGUUGAAAUAUUUGGUUAGAAACGUACAACGUUACUAUAAUUGCGUAUCUAAGAGAACGUUACAUAGUGUUUAAGGAUUGAUCCACCGUAGUGUUGGUAGUUUCAAUGGUACACGUGACUAUUUCUUUCAGUCUUCAUUCUGCAGUUUUGUGUUGGUAAUGGAUUUGUAUGUUUGUCGAAUUAGUGUUCUGGUCAUCCGUGUGGACAAUCGGUUUAACUGAGUGUUUGCUUGUCAAGGUUGUUUUAACUCUUACUUUUAUACGGCAGCAUAAAACUAAAUCAAUAAAUGUGUAAUUGAAAAUAA
rnacentral:lncRNA from 1 species